AUGAUUACACGCCAAAAGAAAAGUCAGAGUUCAAUUAAAAAAAAAAAAAAGAAUUUGGAAGGGAAGAUGGAAAACAAAAGCACUCCCCACUUCCUGCCCACGUGUUAUCACACGGUAAUAUUGCACAGCAGCGCGGUACCGCCUCGCCCCGAGUCCGAGAGGUCUGACUGCAUCGUUAGCCAGUGGCAGCGUUGCUCGUUGGAGGGAGGGCUCGCCUGGAAGUGGGGGGGCUCGAUGCUUCCCAGGCUGACGUUAGUGUCUCUGCAAGGACGCUCUGCCAGGGUGCGACGGGUCACAACCAAACGGAUUGCUCCCCAGUGGGCCGGACUCCAGUCAGAUUGUCAGAUGGAUUCACUUGGAGAGACACAUUUUUAAAGACAUGGGUGUGGAUAGCAGCCUUUGGAGCAGACCCGUUUCUCCAGGCAUUAAAAGUUCCAAGAAACAAAAAGUGAGAAAAGGAAGAGAAAACAAAAAGGAAGAGGCGAGUGAGAGUCCAGCCCCAGCGGGGAGUACCGUGGAGGAGUCGCAGCCUGGGUCAUGUUGAGAGCCCCAGUGCUCCCCAAAUGACACACCCUCGGGAAACUCAGGCAGAGCCUGCAACUCCCCACCGCAAUCCCACACCAGGCUCUAAAGCUAUCUGCAGCCCCGCUAUUUAUCCGCCCGGCGAGGCACAACACUUACUUAUUAAAAACAUAUCUAUCAUGGUUAAUGACUUGAUUUUUUCCCUUUAAUACAGUACAAUGACAGGUGUAAAGGGAAGAUGAGAGUCAGAUGCUGCUGCAAUAUGCUUCCUGCUCUAAGAUGUCUUAGCGCAUCAGCCUUCCUCCAUGGCGCCGGUUGGGUGGGGGGUGGGAUGGAGGGGUGCCACCCACCCCCCUCGCUCCCCUCCACCCCACCCCCGACAUACACAGAUUACACGCUUGUGUUGGAUGGAAAAUCGUACCAUUUGCAGUUUCAGAUAAAAGCAUGUUCAAGUGCAUAUGGAAAGUACCAUUAGGAGCAACUCCAGAGCGCCGAGUAAAACGGGUCAUUAGGUUUUUGUUUGCUGGAGAGUGUCUCCCAUCUGACAGUACCGAAUGGUGCCACUUUGAGCAGCUUAUGUUCCCAGUUACAUUAAACAGACAAACAGAUUGACUGUUUUGCAUUUCUCAUCUGACAACAGCUUGUCUUCAUUUGCCGCACACGGGUGGCAGGGCUGAAAAGCACGGUGGAUGGCUGCCGCCAAGGUCCUGGUUUUGAAUAACAGCAGAUGCCAACCCCGAACUUCAAAAUCAAUCACUUCUUUUUCCUGAGUAUGGAUAAAAGGUCCAGGAGAGCGCCUGCAGGGGGAUUUCUGCUGUUUACAGCGGAACACAGAGAAGCCAUGUUCAUUACCAAACUUUCUGCGAGAAAUCACAAGCUUGGGGAAUUUUAUCAAGGGAGGUGGUGGGGAAGACGCGGGGCUGUAGCACUGCUGGGAGCAGGCAGCUUGAUCUGAGAACACUCGAUAUGAUGGAGGCGAUGACCGUAUUAGUGGAUCUGAUUCUGGCGCGAGGUCUUAAUACGCAGUGACAGAAGAGAGAAGUCGUUUUCACACCAGCCACUUUUCUCAGUAGCCAGUGGUCGGUGGGUUAAUUGAAAGCUUUCUCUAAGAGGGAGGCCGUCCAAGAGGCCAUUUCUCACUUGAAAUUAUAAAGUUAAUGGCUUGAUUUCAAGUCAGCCAGCAUGUGAUCCAGUAUCUUUGGGUCUCUGACUGCCCAGCUGCCCAGGCCCCUCUAGUGGUCCCACCACGGCCUCUCGUGGGUAUCAGAGGCUGGACCACAGCCCCUGCUUAGCAUCAUCCUUGCGGCAUUCAGGUGCUGGAGGGCAUGCCCCGUGAGCAUGUGACAGGCGUGAGUAGGAGAUGGACCUCCCGCCCCAGCAGUCUGGCCCCCUCCUAUCUGCUCUGAGCCUCAUCUGUUCUGUAAGAGGCAGGGAACCUUGGUGGCUCAAGUCCAGAACUUUGGCAAUGGACAAACCACAGCUCGGUCCUCAGCUCUGCCCCUACAAGGCUGUGAGAGGGAGUGGACGUGACGUCGCUUCUCUGAGCCAGUUUCCUCAUCCACAACAUAGGGAGAGUAGUGCAGCUUCCACGUGACAGCAUCAUUGCGGAGCUGAAAUGUGAUCACGUGUAUAAAAGCCGUAACAGCGCUCCUUACGCAGAACAUCGUUAAGUGUUCAUUAAUGGCUGGUAGGUGUGUGUGUAAAACUAUAUGCAUUUUCUUAUAUGUGGUUCAUAUGUGUGCAUACACAUACAUAUCAUAAGAUGCAUAAUAGAAUGUGUUACCUGUGAGCAUGUGUAUACACACUCAUACAUAAUAUACAAUACAGUGCACAUAUACUGAGUGUGUAAAUACAUACGUGUAAAGGUGAAAUCUACCCACAGUGACUACGUGAAGGUCUGAAAUGCUGUGAUGGAGCCUCAGUCCUCUGGCCCUCCCCAGGAGGCCAGCAGGGGACACCCCCCUUGUCCUCCACCAGCCUCAUCACGUUCAUUCUCUCAAAUGGGAAGAGACUUUUUCCUUCCAUCUCAUAACAGGCAGUCGAGCUCCGUCGAGGGUCCCCUGUCACCCUGAAAGCCGGCGCCUGUGGACACUGCUGUGGUGUGCCCGUCCUGCAGGGGACAAGAUGAAGUCUGGGCGGGGAGAAGUUGCUUCCCCGGCGUCUGGUGGGUCCGUGGACCGGCGGGCAUGCAAACUCCGGCGUGCUUCAUGUCUCCAUCCUCCCCGGGAAUGGUGGUUCCCCCGCAGAGAUGGGGAAACAGGGUCCUGUCACAGCAGGCACCUAUGGGACCCAUCCUCCUGAGGACCCUCCUGAGGACUCACUUCUCCUGUAGUCCAGCCUCAGCUUUUUUUGUUUUGUUUUGUUUUUGGCUCGGGGACCUGCCUUGUGACUGAGUUCCUCUGGCUCCUGUUGCCCCAAAACCAACCCAAAUACAAGCAUUUGGAUUUUUAUCAAAGCUUGCGGCAGACCCUGCUGUUGAAGUCAAGUUUUUUAUUGACAUAAAACUCAAGAGAGUUCUGAAAGGAUCUCUUAAACAGAAAUAAACCUCAGACAUUGCUCCUGUAAAAAAAAGGA
rnacentral:lncRNA from 1 species